rnacentral:misc_RNA from 1 species
GAUGAAGAACGUAGCGAAAUGCGAUAAGUAAUGUGAAUUGCAGAAUUCAGUGAGUCAUCGAAUCUUUGAACGCACAUUGCGCCCUGUGGUAUUCCGCAGGGCAUGCCUGUUCGAGCGUCAUUUCAACCCUCAAGCUCUGCUUGGUGUUGGGCCCUGCCCGCUGCGGCCGGCCCUAAAGACAGUGGCGGUGCCGCCUGGCCCUGAGCGUAGUACAUCUCUCGCUCCAGUGCCCGGUGGUAGCCUGCCAGAACCCCAACUCUCGUGGUUGACCUCGGAUCAGGUAGGGAUACCCGCUGAACUUAAGCAUAUCAAUAAGCGGAGGA